rnacentral:rRNA from 1 species
GACGAACGCUGGCGGCGUGCUUAACACAUGCAAGUCGAACGAAAAGAGGGAAAGAGCUUGCUCUUUCCGGAAUUGAGUGGCAAACGGGUGAGUAACACGUAAACAACCUGCCUUCAGGAUGGGGACAACAGACGGAAACGACUGCUAAUACCGAAUAAGUUCCAAGGGCCGCAUGGCCCAUGGAAGAAAAGGUGGCCUCUACCUGUAAGCUAUCGCCUGAAGAGGGGUUUGCGUCUGAUUAGCUGGUUGGAGGGGUAACGGCCCACCAAGGCGACGAUCAGUAGCCGGUCUGAGAGGAUGAACGGCCAAACUGGAACGGAGACACGGUCCAGACUCCUACGGGAGGCAGCAGUGGGGAAUCUUCCGCAAUGGGCGAAAGCCUGACGGAGCAACGCCGCGUGAGUGAUGACGGCCUUCGGGUUGUAAAACUCUGUGAUCCGGGACGAAAAGGCAGAGUGCGAAGAACAAACUGCAUUGACGGUACCGGAAAAGCAAGCCACGGCUAACUACGUG